rnacentral:rRNA from 1 species
AUUGAACGCUGGCGGUAUGCUUAACACAUGCAAGUCGAACGGUAACAGGCCUUCGGGCGCUGACGAGUGGCGGACGGGUGAGUAACGCGUAGGAAUCUGCCUCAUAGUGGGGGACAACGUGUGGAAACGCACGCUAAUACCGCAUACGCCCUACGGGGGAAAGCGGGGGACCUUCGGGCCUCGCGCUAUGAGAUGAGCCUGCGUUAGAUUAGCUAGUUGGUAGGGUAAAGGCCUACGAAGGCGACGAUCUAUAGCUGGUAUGAGGGGACGAUCAGCCACCCGGGGACUGAGACACGGCCCAGACUCCUACGGGAGGCAGCAGUGGGGAAUAUUGGACAAUGGGCACAAGCCUGAGCCAGCAAUACCGCGUGUGUGAAGAAGGCCCUAGGGUUGUAAAGCACUUUCAAUAGGGAGGAAAACCUGUCGGUCAAUACCCGGCAGCUUGACAUUACCUAUACAAGAAGCACCGGCUAACUCCGUGCCAGCAGCCGCCGUAAUAC